rnacentral:lncRNA from 1 species
GGCCACCUGUGAGAGGUUUAUAAAAUAAUGUGUUCACGUGGAUACUGGCAGUGAGCGCAGGUGACGGAGCACCAGGGAGGCUGAUAAGUCAUCAGAAGGCGGCCUCUCCUGGCUCACUGACGUCACUGGGGCUACAACUAUGGAUCAAAGUCCAGAGGUGGCGUGUGGCUCACCCCCCAGCAGUACCAGGCAUAGCUGACACUCUGGCAUUGUGGAUAAGUGAAGGUUAUUGCUAUCAUCACCAACCUUACCUAAAAGAUGCCAAGACUACAAGUGUGUGUGUGUGAUGUAGUCUGCUAUAUGACUUGCCUUCCAUGGUACCAGAUGAUAUGACUCUUCGCUGUAGGGAAUAACCAAGAUACCUACAAAAUGAACAAAUUUAUGUCCUUUCAUGAAGAAAAAAUACCCAAAAACAAGAAACAAGAAAAAAAAAUAACAGGAAAGGACCUUAAAUGUGUCGAACUAUAUUAUGAUAUAUGAUGGCUCGUCUGUAUAUCACUACUCAAAUCGUAGUAGUUUAUAUACUUCAGAUAAAACUCUCCACCAAACCACAAUUCCUUUAUAAGUAUCGUUGACAGUCACUGAAUGAUGGCAAACACUCUAUUGCCAUAUCAACUAUAAGCAUAUCAGAAUAAAAUAGUUCACCUGGCAAAUAAUAUACAGUUGAGGACAUUAUCAGAGACACUAUAGAUGAACCCUCAGAAAUCUAUUUAUACGAAUAGAAUGUAUAAGGGUUUCCAUAUCUCCUCGUCUCGACAACAACAUCCACUACAAAUGGACGUUCUCAAUGCUCAAGAAAUCACCAAGACGCGCUGCAAAUCCGACGACCAACAAGGCUACUGAACAUCCCACCUACAUUGAGUUUAGCGAAGCCUUUCCACAUGAAUACUUAGUGUGGAUCAUUUUAACCUCUCAUAGCAACAUAAAAGCUAAGGUCUGCUGGUAUAAUGCUUUCGAGUUACUUAAGCAUUGUAAAGAAUGUUGAGAAUGUGGACCCACGUCGCUACUCUUAUCUGAUGUUUAGUGAUAUCAGGUAAUGAAUGUUUCUCACCAUGCCUGAUACAAGAGUGUAGAGGAGUCUACAAUAUUCAUCGUCAAUAUGAGUCUACUAAUGAGGAUCAUCAUCAGGCUCCACAUAAUGGAUCAAUACUCAUCAUCUUUAGGCUCUGGGAAAAGGAUCAAUAUUCAUCUUCAUAAGGCUCCGGGAAAUAGAUCAAUAUUCUUCAUCAUAAGGCUCCGAAAUAUGGAUCAAUAUUUAUCAUCAUAAGGCUCCGGGAAAUGGAUCAAUAUUCAUCAUCAUAAGGCUUCAAUAUAUGGAUCAAUAUUCAUCAUAAGAGCGUCGGCAUAUGGAUCAAUAUUCAUCAUCAUAAGGUUCCGGGGUGUGGAUCAAUAAUCGUCAUCAUAAGGCUUCAAUAUAUGGAUCAAUAUUCAUCAUCAUAAGGCUCCGGGAAAUGGAUCAAUAAUCAUCACCAUAAGGCUUCAAUAUAUGGAUCAAUAUUCAUCAUCAUAAGGCUCUGGGAAAUGGAUCAAUAUUCAUCAUCAUAAGGCUCCGGGAAGUGGAUCAAUAAUCAUCAUCAUAAGGCUUCAAUAUAUGGAUCAAUAUUCAUUAUCAUAAGGCUCCAGAAAAUGGAUCAAUAUUCAUCAUCAUAAGGCUUCAAUAUAUGGAUCAAUAUUCAUCAACAUAAGGCUCCGGGAAUGGAUCAAUAAUCAUCAUCAUAAGGCUUCAAUAUAUGGAUCAAUAUUCAUCAUCAUAAGGCUCCGGGAAAUGGAUCAAUAAUCAUCAUCAUAAGGCUCCGGGAAAUGGAUAAAUAUUCAUCAUCAUAAGGCU